GGUAAACUCACAUUCAUUUGAGACAGCAUGCAGUACUGUAGUUUACUAGAAAACGAAUGGAAUUGAUCCUGUUGUUUUACUUUGAUGAUUGUAUUCCAUUUUCUCCAAAAUCCAAAUAACUCUACCUAUUUAUUGAAUUUUUGAGUGUUUGCCUUUAUUAGUAUGGAAAUAGUAUUAGUUAGCAAAAUCAGUUUUACUUAAAGUCAUCUGAGCAUAAAUUCCAAUGAAUGGUCAAAUGGGGGAUAAGCCACUACUCUGUCAGUGCAUAAACCUUAGUUGUUGCUUAUGGAUGUAUGAAGAUUCUUGAUGCACUCACCUCAAGAGAAAUUGUGAUUGUGAAAGUUGAUGUGGAAAGUUGAAGAAAAAAUUGGACAGGCUCCGAGGGAUGUGAUCAGUUAUAUGGUUGAAUUUA
rnacentral:lncRNA from 1 species